rnacentral:tRNA from 1 species
UGGGCGGUUAGCUCAGCUGGCCAGAGCACCUCCCUUACAAGGAGGGGGUCAUAGGUUCGAAUCCUAUACCGCCCACUUA